CAGCUUUGCAUAUCCUUUGGCUGCCGUUAGGGUAGCAGUAGGGAAUCAUCGCUGAUGGCACACAGCUGUGAAGUUAAAUCCCCACAGAGGGAGGUCUGGAGGAGCAGCCACAAUGCCCCACCUCCCGCAGAGACCAUAUAGAGCCAGGCCAGCAAAGCUGCUGUACUUUAGUAUGGUCCCUAAAAGGUGCCCCAGGCUGAGAUGAAUCAUAGCAGGUGCACAGCUGUGCUCUACUGAUGACUUUGCCUUUACAGCCUGCAGCAUCAUGGGGCCACACAGAUGCUUCAGUCCCAGCUGCUGGUGGGAGAAGAGCAAAGAUGGAAUUCAGAGGUGGAACAACAAACUAAUUCAUGAAGUUUUGUGACAAUGGCCUGACAGACCGAAAUUCUACAUUUCCAACUCUAUUUGCAGUCGCUGGUUAUUCCGGUCAUUUAAAGAGAUGCAAUCUGCUACUAGGACAGAAUAGGAGUAGCUGGUACCAAACGUGUGUGCAAAUCUAAAAAUGGACCUGAGAGCUCAAUAAAAGUUCUUGGCACGGCCCAGCUAUUUGGUUUGGCCUUUCUGUGCAGGUCUACUCCACUUCUUCCAACAGUGUUGUUGUAUCAUCAGAAUCCAAGUACAGUGGCAGUAAACCGCCUUGAGAGCAAAGUGGACUUGGGGCAAAGUCCCAGGAUGCUACAGCAAGGGUGUGGUGGACACCGC
ensembl:lncRNA